GUCAAAAUGUAAAACGCGACCGGUUGAUUCGUUCAUUUAUUUUAUUUCUGUACGUACGUUUUUUAUUUAUGUAUCUAUUAGUUUUUAUUUGUUUAUAAUUGUACCCCCAUUAUGUUACGAUAUCGCACAAUUUUCAGUUACACAAUGGUCUCCUAAUCAGAAGGCUCGACGGGCGAUGGUACGUUGGCGCGGCCAUUAUCAAUUACACGUCUAUUACUGACGUCGUUAAAAACACGUGAUACCGGACGCGAAGAAAAAAAAUCUGCGAUAACGGGGACGUGUGCGGCCACUGUUAUAGGCGAUUCAACGUGUACCUGUAAGCAACGAUAAAUCAUUGCUGACGAAAAAACGAUUCUGAGCGGAGUUCAGUCGAUAGUGAUGGUGUGUCAACAACAUCCCAUGCAUCGUAUAUUAUGGUAAAAUAAUUAAAUAUGUAUUGCACAUUUUCUUUAAUAACAUUCGUUUGAUGUACGGAUAUUCCCGUUUUUCCUACAUUUUUCCCGGUUGUUUACACUUGCUGGAAAAACUCUUGGGAAAAUCGAAAAGUGACCUCCCUAAAGUACAUUCCAAGAAAAAGUUCUAUCAUGUAAAUCGGAGCAAGAUCUCUGGUAGAAAAGUCGUCCACCGAAAAAAAAAUAAACAUCUUUGUAAAACCAUAAGUUUCUUCGCUCCGCCCAGAAUCUAAUAGUUGUUCGAUGUUUUAAACUACUUUUUAGCAUACUUUAAAACUAUGUUUUAAACGUGUUGGCAUACUACCGAAACCAAAACACUCCGCAAACUCCUUGUUUAAAACAGCUAUUAAUAUUAUUUUUUUUGUGUUGCUAUUGUUUCUGUGCCAUUCGUCCAAGGCAGGCGCAAUAAUGAGGGAAGGAUGGCAAGGUGUACUCGGACAUCUGGCUCCACGCUUUCUGAGAUCCUGAGCUUUACAUAAUCAAAAUUUCACAAACAAAUACGAAAAACAAUUUUCCUCGCGAGCAACAAUAAUUUUAAGUAUUUAAAUGUAUUAAUAUUAAAUUUGCUGUGUGGAUUAUAACUUAUAAUUAAUAAUGAAUAAUAUUACUCGUAUUAUUUUUAUUAAAAAAAUUAUCGAGUAUAUUGCAGAAAUCGAUUAUUAUUAUUAUUGUUUUUUAUUAUGUUGUUGUGCAGGAACACUGUACGACGCGGACGACAGUCGUGUUAUCAUUCUCUUCGUAACUUGUAUGCAUUGUGUUUUACAUAGCAUAUAUAAGAUACAAGAUUUUCAAAAAAUAAAAGCGGAGCGGAACAAUGAAUGUAUUGAAUGUCUUAUGAUAAUCGAAAGAAAUAAUUACGUAGUGCACGUAAUUAUUUAAUAAUUACGUGCACUGUUUAUAAUGCAUUAGAGGCGUAUAAAUCAAUCUUUCAGUAUGACUUAAAAGUUCGGGGAGAUGGUGCUGGCAAUGCAGCGAGGUCUCUGACUAAUAACACAACAAAAUCAAGCCGUUAGGACAUGUUUAAAUAAAAAUGUUUUAAUUGCAAGUAAUAUUUCUGAUAGAAAACUUAAGUACCUAUAACACAUUGUAAAUUGUCUAAAACCGUCUAAGCACACCGUAAAUAUAGCACCCCUUAUAUUUUAUUUCAGUUUUUCUCAAUUAUUUCGAAAAACCCUAGGAAAAUCAAAAGAUUACUUUCCUAAUACACCAAAUAGAGGAAAAUUACCUUUUAGAAAUAGUGCUAUAUAGACUACAUUUUGGAGCAAGUUUUCUGAUAGAAAAGAUGUUCACAUCCUCUUGCUACGCUCCAAAUCAAAAAAAAAAAAAAUGUAUAGUAC
rnacentral:lncRNA from 1 species